GUUGCCAAUAAAGAGUUUAAUUCACAAGAACCAUAACUACUGCCUGCCCCUAUUGUAUUCUCACAUCUUGAAAGAGAACCAACCACAUCAUCUCCCGGAACAAUGUUAAUGUGUGUGUGGAGUGAAAGACAUUUCAAGUACUGAACCACCAGACAGACAAGGGAAGACAAACCUUGACAUAUUUACACAUAAUGGACCAGCAAACAAAUUUAAACUAAUUCAAGCCUUCAGGAAUACAUUCAUAAAAUACCAAGGACUCGGUACUGGACUGGUCAAAUUAAAGCUGCUUGACAUUCACUUGUCUUUUUACCAGCACACUAUAAUCUGAAGAAACAAAACCUACAAUGACCGUUUACUUGAUAUUCAUGCGGCCAAACUUACAUUGACAAAUGUAAUGGACAGUAAAGACAAGUGAACCUGUUUAAGCCAAACCUAGCUAUAUUGACACAUUCACACCAUACUGAAUCAGAAGAUUCGAAACCUACUUGGUGAAACCAAACCUACCUGACUGGUUCACCCAAUACCGAAUUCACAGGAAAGAUUACCAAACAAGUGAUACCUACAAGUACACCCUGUAUACAUGCAUAGGUAAAUAUUUGCCCCCGUUUUAUUUUCGCCCCUUUCGCCCUCGUUGUCAGCAGGUGAUUUUAAGAAUGGGCAAAAUUCAAUGUCUUGGAUUAUUUCUUUUUAAACAUAACCUCGUCUGGGCGAAUUCAAGAUGCGGUGAAACCAUUUGCAAGUGAAGCCGGGGGAAAAUAAGACAGGGCAAUAUUUACACAGGGCUAAAAAUAACCCUGUAUACAGUAUUCAGUAAGAACUUCAUUUAGUUUUAACAAUUAAAUUUGCUAUUUUAAGGACAACUGUACAUAUUUUUUAUUCACUUUCAUAUUUUUUGGAUACAAAAAUAUUACUGAAAAAGUUAUCUAGCAAACAUAAAAGGGCAAAUAAAAUUUGGGGCAACAAAAAUAUGCAAAGGUGUCUGAAAAAAGCAACCAACGAUUGCUAUCUCUACAGAUGAAUAGGCUUGAUCAGUACAUUUGGUUUUCUCAAUCCUAAUGCCUGGAGCAGUUCAUGAGAAUCGGAUGAUAUUGCUGGCACAUGCAUUCACAUGCUAAUGUAAGUAGAUAUGCCAAUAAGGUGUUAGACCAUUAUGGUGCCUGCAUUCAGUUCAGAUAUUUCCUUGUUCUAUGAUGUUGAUCAAAUGCAUUGAAGGCUUUAUAUACCACCUUCAGCCACAGACUGGUUGUUCAGAGCGGCACUUGUCUCAAACAACAGUAAAAUCAUUGUACUUAUAUUGACUGACAGUUGCGAUGGCAUGUCAAACCUGCAGCUUUUUCUCUAUUUGAGAGCCAUAAAACAAGAUUUGAUAGAUAAAUCUUUAAAAAGGUCUCACUUUCUCUAGUAACAAUCUAUAUGUGAAUGAUGAUGGUGACUGUUGCCAGCUGUGACACUUUCAUCAUUUGAUUUAGUUUAAAAUGUAUCACUGUUCCUGGGCAAAAGUUGCAGCGUUUGCUGGCAUUUUGAAUUGGUUAACAGAUUUUUGAGACCCUUUGACUGAAGGAGACAAUUUACAGAAACAGUCAAAUUCAAAAUGAUACACUUCAACUUCUGCCCAGGAAGGUUCUAAAAUGCAACCUUAUGUAAGACUUUAGUAUUUUGUUAUAGAUGUUUUGAACGAUUUGUUAUGAUUGUCUCUGCAAACCAUGGGAACUGAUGCACUACACUAUAAAUGUAGUUCAUUUUCUGAGAUCUGGUUAGUAAACAGGCAUUUCUAGAACCAGACUGAACUCAAACUUCAUACAAAAUAGAUGUAGAGCAGAUCUUCUAUAAUUAGCUGAUGCUACUAUAAAACCAAUAAGGUCUAAAACUGUCUCCUGAUUCAGAGACUUGUCUGCUCGGAGUUUAUUUCACCGAUUUCAACCUGCAUAUAUUUAAUACGAGACUAAGGAGCAUGCAAUGAUUUUCAUCGUUGGAAUGAAAUCAAUUAAGCGAUACAAGGGUCUCAUCACUUCCGCCCAGUGGUCUGUAUACCCUAUUGUUAGUACUUGACACUCCGUGGUUGACCCGAGUUUGGUGGCCCCAAUACCUGUACAGAGUCAUUGAGUUGCCAGACAGUCUGUAAUGUCACACCUGAUUAACACCAGACAGACAGCGCAGCAUGUCGCUUUGUAAUCCAUCAUCCAUGCAAUUAUCUACCGCAGGACCGAACUCGCUCAGGUAGAACCAAAAAAAACACCUGACGUAAUUUCUAUUACAUUUAUUAUUUAUUGUAUACUGAUGUUUUCAAUGUGUGACACAUUUCAAAUUCCUUUGAGAAGUGUUGCAGAAAUAUGAUUUCAAUUCUUAAUGUGAACAUCUUAGAAUUUCAGAUACACAUCAAUUUUUUUUUCUAAUUUAUCUAUCCAUGUUUCAAAGGAGCAAAGAUUUCUUUGAAGUAAUAAAGUGAAUAACUAGAGUGAAUGAAAAUACCUUUGUCAAUCAUUCAUAUUUUGUCUGUUUUUUAAAGUAAACCAUUUGCUAAAAACUAAAAUAUUUACACAUUUUUUUUUUGGAAAAACUUUUCACAGCCCUCUAAGAAUAGUGUACAUGUACUUUUAAUAACAAGGGUAGUUAUUAUUGUUUGUUUUAAUGAAAUGCUUAGUGUCAUAAAUUUAUUUAAUUGAACUAUACUGUACACAAGUUUAACAGCUAGUGAAGAACGCUGUUAUUCCAUUUGAAUCAAAAUGAAUUUAGCUUGAGCGCAGUAACAAGAGGAACAAGAGGAACAACUCUGGAAGAAUAAAGAAAAGUCCUAAAUUGAAUUAAUGAAAUUAGUUUAAACUACAAAUGUCAUAAGACAGUAAAUGAAAUCUAUUAUUAGUUUAAUUUCCAGCAAACCUAACCAAUCAUGUUAUCCAUACAAAUAAAAUGAAUUUUUCAAUUACCAUUUUUCUCUCAAGAAGCACCGAGGGUUGGCCAGUGAUUUACGAUAUUCUUCAUUUUAGGUGGUCAUUUAUAUUAUAUACUGUCAGACAGGAAACUUAAGUGAAGGGGCCGAGAUUUAAAUGACUUCUUAAUUGCUUUGCUCUUCAUUUUAUGAAUGAAAUCCUGAAGGAUCUGAAUACUUAAGCAUUAAUAUCAUUUUACAAUCCAGUAUUGUGGACAAUAAUGUCUCUAAUUGCAGGAGAAAUGAUUCAACAUGGUGUGAAGUUCUCACGGAAGCUUAAUUACUCAAGGUGGUUACAUAAUGAAAUAAAACUUGCACCAAAAAAAAAUACAAGUCUAUUAACGAGGCUCAAAAUGCAUAAUAUGGAAUAUUAAUCCCAAAACCGCUCAUAAGCAGACACCUGAAGUAUUUGAUAAAGAGAGAGAUACCAUUUAGUAAUUUCCCACACACACCAGCCCGUCCUGUGGUGAAUGAAGACGUGAGACAGUUGUGUGUCAGUUGCAGGGCUCGGGCUAUCCAUCAGGAGAUACCCCACUGCUCUAUAAGCUUCACCAUCUCCAAAAACAUCCUCUAUCAAACACUUGCUAUCAGCAACAUCACCGACUUUGAUGUAACCUAGAUCUAUGUUCAAACUUUUUAAAGAAGAAAACCUUUUACUGGAGUGAACUUUAGAUGACACAAUACCUUAAGGAGGAAUAUGGGACACAUUGAGAUAUUAAAGUAUUAACAUGGAUAUAAAAAGUACAGCAUUUUAAAGAUAAAAUCACCAUAAAUGUUCAAAAUUUGCAAUACUUAGCCAGAUAUAGAUUUAUAUAUUUUUAAAAAAUUUUAAAUAUAAAAAUUUCAACCCCCUGAUUUCCAGAUAAAAAAAAAGAAGUGAUCAACUCCUUUUAUUGUCUUUUUCAAAUAUAUAUACAUAACAAAACUCCAAAUCAAUGCAACCCUUGGUAAAUUUAAUUAACUUGAAUAAGAAAACUUCUCCUACUGAUAGUUUGACAUAUUGUUAUAUAAAUAUCCCCUUUUACAGUGGCAUUUUUAUAAUCAUAUGAAGUUCCAAAGAAAUAAUACAUUCCCUCUUGUUCCACACUGACUCCUACCCAAAGCUAUCAUUUUAAGGUCAAAGGGCAACCAAGGAGGAAAAUGCAUUUCAACGUGAAAGUCACAGAACCUCUAGAAUAUUAGCACAUCACCGCUACGAAAAAAACCAUGGUGAAGAAAAAACAAAAUGCCCAUGGGCCACAUUGCUCACUUGAGCAAUAACAUCCAUAAUAAAAUCAGCUGUAUAGAAUCAUAAACAGAAUAUUUGUACAAUAUAGUAAAACAGAUCCAGUAUAAUUUUUUUUUGGACAUAUUUAUGUAAAACAAUAAGCUCCUUUUACAGUAGGAUGAUUUCAAAGUCAUGUCACAAACUGAGCAUUGCAGAUCUAAAGAAUAUUUUAAACAUAAAAAGUUUAACCUAUAUCAAACAUUGGGGCCUAUAAAUUGUCCAGUGUUCACAGUCCAAGCAAUUAAGAAUAAUAUGUCAAGAUAAUUGCAUACAUAUAUAAUAUUAUAUUUUAGAACAUUCAAGUUUUUUAAAACAAUUUGCAACAUUUUUAAAUGUAAAAUUAGACCCCCACCAAGUGGCCCCACUCUACCCCCGAAGAACAAACCUGAAUCUACACUACCUAAUUUUGCUUUCACUAAGUAACAAUUUUUGGCUGAUUUCUUUAUGAUAAGAAGAUUUAAAAAACAUAAUUUUCUAUAUUAUUCCAAUGUAAAAAUUUGACUCCCAACUGUGGCCAAACCCUAUCUCAAGGAAUCAUAAUAUAAACAAACUUGAAUCUACCUUAAUUAAGGAUGUGUUCACACAAGUAACAGCUUUUAUGGCCAAUUGGAUUUUAGGGUGGAAUAUCCCUCUGAUAAAAAAGACAACUUCUGUAGAAAAUAAUCUCACUUCGUUUCUGUUAACUCACAAUUAUUAAGGCAUGUAGCAACAAGGGAGGCGGUGCUGGGCCCCAAUUUAUAUUGGAAGGCGACAUUUAUUUAUAUUUAAAUAUAGAAAAAGAAAAUUUGAACAGAAUGAACUGAAUAUCAGCUUUUAGCAGGGGUAAAAGGAAAGAAAACUUUUACAAAAAAACUGCAAGAAGCGAAUCAUAUUGAUCAGAUUUUUAUGAGGCAAUAUCUGCAUAAAUAUCCCUCCCCUUUCCCCAAAUGGAUUAAUUUUUAUGAAAAAAAUAAAACUAAAUUUUAUGUACUAGUUUGAAACAUAACAUUUCAAAUGUUUAAAAUUGAAUAAGGGUUUUCUAUUCUGAGAGAGCAGUUAUGGGACAACAAAAAUUGAAAAAAACCCACCAAUAUCACAUUUUCUUCAAGACAAUAUAUCCCUAUAUUGAGAACAUAUCAAUAACUGGAAGAUCAUCAUUUGAUCCCCUUUUUGUGUUUUAAUAAAAUGUUCUGUUUUACAUUUGUAGCAUUUCUGAAACAUAUGGAUCCUUUUACUAUUAUCCUAUCCAAAUUUAAAAACAGAAAACCUUUUCUGAAAAAUUAGAAACUGUGGCAAUUUAUUAUGUACUGUAUGUAAAACAUGUACGUUAAAUAAUAAAGAAAGAUAACUCUUGCUGAUUGAAGCAAUUUUUGUCACAAACCUAAACAACAAAGUGCUAUUCUGAACUAAAAAGCAGUGCUUCAUUAUGUUUUGUAAUAUGAAUUGGCAAUGUAUAUAACUAUAUAUUUUUUUCAUAUACAGUUAAUAUUUUUAAUUUUAUGCUGUGAUGGUAAAAUUUUGCUUUUUUUGAACAAACUUGAAUCUACUCAAUCUGAGGAUGCUUCAACACAAAUAAUGAGUUUUUUAGCCAAAUGGUUUUUGAGAAGAAGAUUUUGAAUUUUUUUUCUUUAAAAAUUCCACCACCCUUCCAAUUGUGACCAACCCUGUCCCUGCAGAUCAUGAUUUGAACAAACUUGAAUCUGCACAUCUGAGGAUGCUUCCUCAAAAGUUUCAGCUGUUCUGGCAGAAUGGUUUUUGAGACGAAGAUUUUUGAAAAAUAACAACAAAUUUUCAAUAACUCCUUACCAUCUCCCCUUAAAAGAGGGCAUUGCGCUUAAUUUUAAUAAAUUUGAAUCUCCUUCACCCAUGCAAUGAUACUUUGUGCUAAGUUUGGUUGAAAUUGUCCAAGUGGUUCUGGAGAAGAAGUCCAAAAUGUAAAAAGUUUACAGACAAAACUCACUGGCGCUUUCAACUCAGGUGAGCUAAAAACUUCAAAUAAUAAACAUUAAGAACCAAUCAUUAAGAUUUCCAGUUGUUUACUGCAAAUUAACAAGUGCUUUUGCACCCAGUGCCACAUGGACAUUAAAUGACUGUUGAACUUCCCUAUAAUGUCCUUGGUAUCUCAUCAAUAAUAUAUACUACUGAAAUAAACUCCAACGGCUGCCAUCUGCAGUCAGACUGUUAAAGGAAAGGAGAAGUUUGUCUCCAGAUUACACCUGUAACGGUUAUAAUUAGAUUAUUCUAAUCACAUUGCUUUGCACUUUGUUCAGUACAGUCAUCUGCAUCCAGGUCUUUAAUGCUUGAAAAAGAUUAAUUAGAGAAAAUAUGAAGCACCUUCUGAUACAGCAUUAGAGACCCUCCCCCAGUUACCAAUCAAAGGUGAAAAUAAAAGAGUGAUGAUCCAACCAAACCUUACCAUUUAUUCAUGAUUUUCAUCAAUUUUGCACAUUAAUUUGAUGCAUUUACUGUUUUUUACCAUAGGAAACUACAAAGUGCAUGUCAGUAUGGGGCAUCAGCAUUUUGCUAAUUAUGAUCUAAAUGUAGGACAUUGUUUCAGUGGAAUCUAUAUACAGCUUUCAAAAGAUGAAGGCGGUUUGAAUAAAUAUAGAGAUGGAAUACUUUAACACUGACAGCUAUAGUCAUAUUGAUGAUUAAUGUUUGUCUGACCUUCAUAGCUGUAUUAUACCCUUUUAUAUACGAACUGCAGGUGUUUAAGUUGCAGCAUCGCAAAAAGAGGGGUCAAAUGCCAAUGCCAUAUCAAUUAGUCUUCUUUGCUGGAUUAUAAAGUAUCAAUAUUAUCAUAAAGUAUUCAAUUAAGCCUUUCCCUUAAGCAUUUCCUAGAUCAACUGAGUAGGAUGUUUUUAUCAUAAGAUGAUAUGCCUAUGCCAACAAUGACAGGCAGACUUCUCAAUUCAUUUGGAAUGUAUCAUGUAAUUAGCAUCAAGACAAACCCUAAUGACACAAAUAGAUGUGAACCGGGAAGACACAGAGCCAGCUGACAGAGGGAGCCGAUGUCAUCCAUGCAUGGCAUUACAUUUCCAAUAGGAUCCCACAUUCUGAUGGCCAAAGUAAUCUUCAUGCUUACCAUGUAGACAUGCAAUGCAACUACUCCCACUGUUUUCUGGGAUUACACCAAUCACCUUUGGCAUUAUUCACCUGGAGAAGGUCUUUUACUUCCCCCAAACUUGAGCUGUAUGCCAUCAAUAUUGCUUGCACCUGA